rnacentral:lncRNA from 1 species
UUUAAUCAUUAGACAAUGCCCCAUGGCUCAAAAUCAAAUCCUUAACAUUUCUUUCUAUUUUAAAACUGUGAUGCUUAAUGAUAACAAUUAUGGACUCUGCCUCCCUUACCUUUUUGCCACAGAAUGGGAAAUGAAACUCGGACUUGAUUAAUGAGAGUAACUGUGAUGGGAAGUGACUAUGCAGAGAUACAAUCAAUUAAUUUUUGAUAAAAAGGUGCUCAGGAAAACUGUUUCUCCUGGUAAUGCAAAACUGGAUCUGCUGGCAGGUAGCUGCUAAACUGAAGGCACUUCAGACCGAAGACACAAAGAGCCUGCAGCACAAGAGAAUGAGACCCAAAUGCUGUGCCAAGUGCAGCUGAACCACAAAGGAGGCCAACUAUUUACCACAAGAGUUCAAUUUAAAAAAUUCUACAGCUUGUUUUAAAUUUGUUCUACAGCUUGUUUUUAAAUUUCUCAAUUCUUCUUUGACAAAUUUUCCACCGUCACCUCCCACUGCAAACAUUAGAACCAUCUUUUCUACUUUCUUCCAAAUUUGAAAAUGAAAAUUUUAAAAGAAUACAAGCUAAUAGGCACUGAGA